AGGAAGUGGUGUAGUGGGAGCACGCGGAGUUUUGGUCUCCAAAGUAUAGGUUCAAGUCCUAUUUUUCUA
rnacentral:tRNA from 1 species